rnacentral:rRNA from 1 species
AUUGAACGCUGGCGGCAGGCUUAACACAUGCAAGUCGAGCGGAGUGAUGGUGCUUGCACUAUCACUUAGCGGCGGACGGGUGAGUAAUGCUUAGGAAUCUGCCAUUUAGUGGGGGACAACAUUCCGAAAGGAAUGCUAAUACCGCAUACGUCCUACGGGAGAAAGCAGGGGAUCUUCGGACAUUGCGCUAAAUGAUGAGCCUAAGUCGGAUUAGCUAGUUGGUGGGGUAAAGGCCUACCAAGGCGACGAUCUGUAGCGGGUCUGAGAGGAUGAUCCGCCACACUGGGACUGAGACACGGCCCAGACUCCUACGGGAGGCAGCAGUGGGGAAUAUUGGACAAUGGGCGCAAGCCUGAUCCAGCAAUGCCGCGUGUGUGAAGAAGGCCCUCGGGUUGUAAAGCACUUUUAUCAGGAGCGAAAUCUGCAAGGUUAAUACCUUUGUAGUCUGACGGUACCUGAGGAAUAAGCACCGGCUAACUCCGUGCCAGCAGCCGCAGUAACAC